GGGAUGUGAUGAGUGGGUUUGAACUCGCGUUGCGAGAUGGGUGUCUGCCCUAAGCCUGGUUACGACAAUGUGGCACUCUAAUAUUUUCCAUUCUGAUCCC